rnacentral:lncRNA from 1 species
AUAUAUAUAUAUAUAUAUACACAUAUAUAUAGGCUUAGUGUCUUCUCAUUGAAUCCAGCUAGAUGCCAAUUAAGUGAAUAUAUAUAUUCAAAAUACACUACGUAUAUAUAUAUAUAUAUAUAUAUAUAUAUAUAUAUAUUAACUUAAAACACAAAGACUGCGUAUAACUGCGUUUCUUUUGGGGUUUUUUUUCGUUCUUUUUUUUCUUUUUGCAGUGCUUCAGGUGUUGGACACAUAGCAGGGGUUUGUUGAAAGUAGCAGACAUGUUUUGUAUAAAGAAGAAAAGAAAUGAAGCCCGGUUUGUCCUGAGGAUGUGGUCACUGUGGGCUAAAGAAGGUAGAGCGCAGAGGCGGAUGGGGGAGGCUGUGAGUCUCUGGCUGGAGGGCAGAGGAGUAUCUAGAAGUUUCCAUCGUUGGGUCAAAGUGUAUCAGCAACACCAGAAAGCCUCCCACCACAUACAAACACAGCUUUCACACAGCAUCAGAGCAGUGGAGAGAAGAGGAGAGCGUGGACUGACCCGCCGGUACUGGACCUGCUGGACAAACCAAACUGAAGCAUCACUGCUGUGUACACAGCAAUACGAGCGCUGUGUGCUGCAGAGAGCCUGGCUCACCUGGAGAAAGAGACACAUCAGGAACAGAGUGUCUGCUGAUCACUCAGCCACCGUUAACAGCACGCUAUUGGCUCAGGUGUUGCAGGUGUGGUGGCAGCGAGCCCACAGGACAGACUUUGAGUCCUAACCAGUUCUGUCUGUUUACAAGCAGAGUGUUAACAGAUGAGUGAAGAUCAUAUCAGACUGCAGAAACUCCACACACACCUCCAAAACAAUCAUCAUUUACCCCGAGUAUUCAACAACACAUUUACACACGUCCCUUCUGUCCAGUCUGGAAUGGCUAAUUCUCCUGCAUAGUGUUUAUUUACAUUAGGCUUUCCCCUGGAGAGAAAAACCAGUCCCAUAGAUUUACACCGAAGGAAGGAGCCCAUCCCAACAACUUGACAGCGGGCCUUUUCUUUUCAAUUUUGUUUCAACACUGUUUGCAGUAGAUGAACAGUGAGCAGGGCCAAAUCAGUAGAUGAACAGUGAGCAGGGCCAAAUAUGAACACUUGCAGCUGAGCUAAAUUGUGAUUGAUUUCAGGUGAGACUGGGCUCUUUAAAAGCAAUUUUUACAUACAAUAUGUAUAUAUAGCAUUGGUGUAGAAUAUUUUCCACGCCGCCAUUGUCCAUUUUAAUUAUUAUUAUUAUUUUUUUUUUAUUAUUAUUAUUAUUGAAGAAAUAUAAGUAUUUGCUAUACUUUUAGAUGAAUGAAAAUCAAAUGUUUCAGUUUGCUAAGUUUUUUUUUUUUUAAUUCUAUCAAGAUAUUUCAAUCCUUUUAAAUAUUUUAAAGCUGAGUAUAAUUAGACAAAAAUAAUUGGCUAACACUUUUUAGUGUCCUUUCAUGUUCUUACCAUAGUAAUAACAGUAAAUUAUGCAUAAUUACAAACAAUUAACCCUAAACCAAUCCCUAACCCCAUAGUAAGUACAUGUUAUUAAUUAAUAUUUAACUGUACUGACAAGGACACUGAAAACAACACUUUAUUUUUACACUUUGCUAUAGAUAUUUUUAUUUAGUUUGUUUUCCAUGAUAUUCACACACCUGGGAAUCAGUUUAAAAAUAACCCAUUUUUUUCCAGGCAAGAUUCAUGACACAUUAAUCAUACUUAUUAAUUGCAAGAUGCUCUUUUUAAGAGAGAGAGAAAAAAAAAACAACAACAACAACAAAAAAAACCUUUUUGAAUUCAGAGAGCUUAAAACCACCCAGAGAUGUAAUGGAUUCUUGCACAUAUACACAUAUAAAUGAACCAGUUUAAUAACCAUGUUUAUGUAAUGAUGAUUGCACAUGUCUGUUUAAGCAAAAACGAGGUCAAGUUCAUACCGUUGGCUUACUUCCAACAAAUGUGUUUCGCGUGACGGGGAGAUAAGACGACGCACGUGGAUUCGAAUGUGUGCAGCUGCUGAAGUAAUAUCUGCUGAUGGCAGCGCACCAAUCCUUCACCAUCAUCAACCGCAGCGCGUCCAACAGAGGCAUGGACUUUGAGAUGUGGGUGAACUCACAAUAUAAAUGUUAUGUGAAUCACAAGCAAACAAAUGAUCCAAUGAUAGUGUCAAACGUGGACAUGUUGGCACAGGGGGAGGUGCGUGUGUUUAUUGAGCUUUCUAUUGCCAGCAGAACAAAAAUGGUCAAACCACUCAAAAAAAUGAAUAAAAUCUAAAGUGUACAUCUAUGAUGGCACCACAUUACAACAGUAAUCACAAAUCACAACCGUUACAAACUAGUUACUCCAACAGUAUUCACACAUGACUGCAAAAAACAAAAACAAACAUAAGAUGGAAUCUCACCAAACUGGGUUUAGGAUGAUUUUGUUUUCAUUAUUUUCAUUAAAAACGAACACAUUCACUCCCAAUUCUCAUUACUGUAACUUGGAAAAGUUCUAUAAAACCUAAAUGAUAAAUUAUUUAUCUAUCCUGGUAGUUGUUUUUAACCACAGUAAUGAUCAUCAAGAGUAAAACAUCCAGAUGCAUUCAGGCAAUGAGAAUUUGGAGUGAACAUGUUAUCAGUUCUUUAUCUUUACAGUUCACGCAAAAAUGAAUCAUCAGCAUUUACUCACCUCACGUUGUUCCAAAUCCAUAAAACGUGUGCAUUUUUGUCCAUCUGUUUAAACUCAAUGCAUGCAAAACCAUAUUUUCAUUUUCACAUUGUGAAAAUCUCAAUGAGUCAAGCAUUUUAAUUCAUCUUAAUAUGCAUCUUUUAAUAUGAUGAGCAGAUUUGAUUUAGGCUUAAUAAAUAAACAUUGAUCAACGCACAUGCAUGGAGCACAUUGACCAUACUUGCUGGAAACGUGCAGGAACUAACCUCAUUGGUCUUGCAGAAGCGGAAAUGUAUUUGUGUGACCUGUUUAAACUCAAUGCAUGCAAAACCAUAU